AGAGUUUGAUCCUGGCUCAGAUUGAACGCUGGCGGCAUGCCUUACACAUGCAAGUCGAACGGCAGCACGAGAGCUUGCUCUUGGUGGCGAGUGGCGAACGGGUGAGUAAUAUAUCGGAACGUACCCUAGAGUGGGGGAUAACGUAGCGAAAGUUACGCUAAUACCGCAUACGAUCUACGGAUGAAAGUGGGGGAUCGCAAGACCUCAUGCUCAUGGAGCGGCCGAUAUCUGAUUAGCUAGUUGGUGGGGUAAAAGUUCACCAAGGCGACGAUCAGUAGCUGGUCUGAGAGGACGACCAGCCACACUGGAACUGAGACACGGUCCAGACUCCUACGGGAGGCAGCAGUGGGGAAUUUUGGACAAUGGGCGCAAGCCUGAUCCAGCAAUGCCGCGUGAGUGAAGAAGGCCUUCGGGUUGUAAAGCUCUUUUGUCAGGGAAGAAACGGUGGACUCUAAUACAGAUCACUAAUGACGGUACCUGAAGAAUAAGCACCGGCUAACUACGUGCCAGCAGCCGCGGUAAUACGUAGGGUGCAAGCGUUAAUCGGAAUUACUGGGCGUAAAGCGUGCGCAGGCGGUUGUGCAAGACAGAUGUGAAAUCCCCGGGCUCAACCUGGGAAUUGCAUUUGUGACUGCACGGCUAGAGUGUGUCAGAGGGGGGUAGAAUUCCACGUGUAGCAGUGAAAUGCGUAGAGAUGUGGAGGAAUACCGAUGGCGAAGGCAGCCCCCUGGGAUAACACUGACGCUCAUGCACGAAAGCGUGGGGAGCAAACAGGAUUAGAUACCCUGGUAGUCCACGCCCUAAACGAUGUCUACUAGUUGUCGGGUCUUAAUUGACUUGGUAACGCAGCUAACGCGUGAAGUAGACCGCCUGGGGAGUACGGUCGCAAGAUUAAAACUCAAAGGAAUUGACGGGGACCCGCACAAGCGGUGGAUGAUGUGGAUUAAUUCGAUGCAACGCGAAAAACCUUACCUACCCUUGACAUGUCUGGAAUCCUUGAGAGAUCAGGGAGUGCUCGAAAGAGAAUCAGAACACAGGUGCUGCAUGGCUGUCGUCAGCUCGUGUCGUGAGAUGUUGGGUUAAGUCCCGCAACGAGCGCAACCCUUGUCAUUAGUUGCUACGAAAGGGCACUCUAAUGAGACUGCCGGUGACAAACCGGAGGAAGGUGGGGAUGACGUCAAGUCCUCAUGGCCCUUAUGGGUAGGGCUUCACACGUCAUACAAUGGUACAUACAGAGGGCCGCCAACCCGCGAGGGGGAGCUAAUCCCAGAAAGUGUAUCGUAGUCCGGAUUGUAGUCUGCAACUCGACUACAUGAAGUUGGAAUCGCUAGUAAUCGCGGAUCAGCAUGUCGCGGUGAAUACGUUCCCGGGUCUUGUACACACCGCCCGUCACACCAUGGGAGCGGGUUUCACCAGAAGUGGGUAGCCUAACCGCAAGGAGGGCGCUCACCACGGUGGGAUUCGUGACUGGGGUGAAGUCGUAACAAGGUA
rnacentral:rRNA from 1 species